AGAAAAGCUCUUGCAAACAUCACCUACUCCUGUCAUUUCACUGCUUACUGGGAACCAUGCACUAAGGAAUGGAGCUCAAGUCUUCUGCUGCCUCGUUCUUGGAAGAAGGGAUAGGUCUGCAUUCCAAAUAAAGAAAGGAUGUCCCAUUAAGGAGGAAUGAAUGGUCAAGGCUUGUUUUCUGCUGCUCCAGAGACUGAGCCGUGGAUAAAAGCUGCAGGAAAGAAGAGAUUCCUACGAAAACAGUAGGAAGCCUUUCCUGUUGAAGGUUUUCAAGCAGAGACUGGAUGGCUAUCUGUCUGGAGAGCUUUGACUGUGUCUUCCUUUAUGACAGGCAGAAGGGGGCUGGACUGGAUGGCCUUUGGGGUCCCUUCCAACUCUAGCAUUCUAUGAUUCUUUGACCCAGUUUCACUGGACGAAAACUACUACUGUGACUCAUUUUCUGCAAUCCUCCAAUGAGGCGGCCACCAUCAAAGGCAUUCUAAUUAAAAAAGAUCACCUUUCCUUCUGCUCAGCAGCAGCGGCGCAUCCCCAAACGCCGAGAGGUAAUUGCAUGGCUCGAUAAUGGGUUCUUCCUCUCCUCCUUCAUGCUCUCCUCUUCAUUUUCAAACCCAGCCCGGUCCUUGAGAUGGUGGCAUGGGCUUUGCUUGUCCGCCCCAGGAUUAAAGGCUGCACAGCCGGCUGGGCAGUGCUCCCCAUUGCCUUUUAUUUUAUAAAAAAACAGCUUUAAUUGGUCAGUCCAUUUGCACUUCAAAGGCCUUUUGGAAAUGAGAUCUAGAGACCCGGCUAAGAAACCAAAAAGCCCCAAAGGCCAUCUUGAAGCAGAGAUGGACAUCCCGCCGCUGUGGGGUAUUUGCAGACUCCCCUUUUGCAGCAUCUGAAACUCUCCUCUCAGCCUUUAAAACAAAUUGGCAAGGUGUUCAGAAAUGUGGUUUUUCCACUCCUUUCCAAAUCCCAGAGAACGUCCUUUGAAUACGUGAACAUUGAGCUUCUCCAAUGGUUACAAGAAGGGAUCCUGCUGCCAUAAAUCUUGCCAUUCAAAUCUAUUUGUGUUUAAUUCUGUUUUGAUGGUUGCAUAUUUGCAUAUUUUAAAUUGUAUGCUAAUGUUUUUAUGACAAGCCGCUUUGAGCUCCCUUUUGGGAGAUAAAGCGGGAUAUAUAUAUAUACAGUAGAGUCUCGUUUAUCCAACGUUCUGGAUUAUCCAGCGCAGUCUGCCUCCUGUCUGGAUCCACAGGCAUCAAGGAUUGAACUUUUUACAAAUUUAACUUCCAACAAUGUUGUUACUGCAAGUUCAUUUUAUGUAAUUCUAUUUUUAUUUGUAGUCAAUUUGUUGGUAGUCAAUGUUUUUAUAGUCAAUAUUUUCAAUACAUUGCAAUGUUUUGGUGUUAAAUUUGUAAAUACAGUAAUUAUUACAUUUCGUUACCAUGUAUUGACCUGCUUUUUCUGUCUGUUUGUUGUAAAACAUGAUGUCAUAAUGCAAUUUGAUAUUUAAUAGGCUUUUCCUUAAUCCCUCCUUAUUAUCCAACAUUUUUGCUUAUCCAACGUUCUGCCGGCCCGUUUAUGUUGCAUAAGUGAGACUCUCUCUCUCUCUCUCUCUCU